rnacentral:rRNA from 1 species
GAUGAACGCUGGCGGCGUGCCUAAUACAUGCAAGUCGAGCGAACAGACGAGGAGCUUGCUCCUCUGACGUUAGCGGCGGACGGGUGAGUAACACGUGGAUAACCUACCUAUAAGACUGGGAUAACUUCGGGAAACCGGAGCUAAUACCGGAUAAUAUAUUGAACCGCAUGGUUCAAUAGUGAAAGACGGUUUUGCUGUCACUUAUAGAUGGAUCCGCGCCGCAUUAGCUAGUGGGUAAGGUAACGGCAUACCAAGGCGACGAUGCGCAGCCGACCUGAGAGGGUGAUCAGCCACACUGGAACUGAGACACGCUCCAGACUCCUACGGGAGGCAGCAGUAGGGAAUAUUCGACAAUGGGCGAAAGCCUGACGGAGCAACGCCGCGUGAGUGAAGAAGGUCUUCGGAUCGUAAAACUCUGUUAUUAGGAAAGAACAAAUGUGUAAGAAACUAAGCACGUCUUGACGGUACCUAAUCAGAAAGCCCCGGCUAACUACGUG